UCUGGGGGAAGCAAAAGAACUGUAUUUGGUGGGACUGGAGGCGCUGGACAAGAGCCCGCGUGUGCGACUAGAAGACUGGCGAGACUGGUAGCGGGGCGGUGUUGAAAGAAGGCGGCGGCUGGUCCUCGGUCCGGGCUGCUCGGGUCCCUUCGGUCCCCCCAGGCCUGCGCUCGGCCGCCGCCGCAGCUCAAGCUUGCGGACUCCGCCGGCUGCCGCUCCGUGUUUUCCCCCAUCCCAGCUUCACGUUCAAGGUUUAGCUGCGAGGUCACGUCCAUUGACGUCAGCUCCCUGUCUCCCUCUACGUCCGGCUACAUUUACAUACAUCAAGGAAAUUAGGGCAUUAAAAAAUAUGCAAAUCCUGCGCGAAGAGGAGCCGGUGCAUUCCUGGCGCGAUCGUCUUUUAUUGAAGCUUUUAAUUAAAGGGGCCAGUUGGCAAGCCCCUGAAACAACCGCCAAAAUCCCCAAAAGAGAAAAAUAAACGCUGUAGCCUUCGGGAACGGUUGUUUCGGCUCCUGUUCUGUGGGCGGCUGAAGACCGCCGGCUGCCCGGCUCGGAGAAGAACAGCUUUGAGGACAGGGGAGCCACAUCGAAUAGCUCUGUGAAGUCUACUGGUGUGCUACUCACUCUCUGCUCAAUUAAGACAUUCUGGCUGGCCUCAUUUCCCCCUGGUGUUAUGCGAUUCUCUGACAUCAGCACAGAUAUAUUCAGCUUUGACAUAUGAUACUGACUGGCCUGAGAGAGAAGGGAAGAAGGCUGAGCUUGUGAGCAGGACACGACAGCUAACUAAGCUCAAGACUAACUGGCAUUUAUAACAGGUGCUCCAUGGAACCAGAGUUAGAAAGAGAUUCAUCCUCUAUUUUUAAAAAGUAGCCUUCUAAACUUUGUUCAAGACACUUCCUGCAAACCACCUAGCAGAAGAUGCAAGGACAGUGUAGAACCGAAGUCUCUGCCUACCUGCACUGGUGCCUGCACCGGAUGUGAGGUCUCCACCCAUCAGACCACCUAUGGAUUAAAGAGAAAAAUCAAAAGGAGAAAGGCUAAAGGCCCACAAAACAAAAUACUUUACCUUUAGCAACCUCAGUAUUUUGUCCUCCCCUAAAAGUUAAACAAUUGCAAAGUCUUAUCUAAGCCAGAUGUAAUGGCUGACAUUUAUUUUAUUGUGACACGCUGUGCUCAAACAUUAAAAAUACAUACAUUCAAUCACUGACAUUUUGCAGAUUCCUUUUUUCUAAGACAGAUUAUAUUCUAAAAAUACAGUCUUUGAAUGGUCUCUGAGUUUUUAUUAUCUCCAAAUUUAGUUUUUCCUAAAAGGCUGUUUCAUAGAAAUAAAAAAAGAGUAGGGUCUACCAUAUGCUUAGACAAC